AUAGUUGAUUUAUAGUGUCAGAGAAUUUGCUAUACAGGUGAGAAGGCAGACAAAAGUCCAUGAGACGGGAGCGGGUAGGUAGAGGCCUGGAAGAUAGUCAGUCACUGCCAAAGAUGUCACCAGCCACAGAGAAGGAGGGGCAGAAAUUCCCUGGUAUCUCCCUUCCUCCACCCUCCAAUCUCCUACCAGUGCCGGGCACUGGUCAAAGCCAGCAGCAGAAGCCAAGAAAAUGCUGCCUGCAGGGAUCACAGCCUGUGAUAUGGAGCACAGCACCGGAAAAACAAGGAAAGAAUAACAGCAAACAGCCUCAAGAUUUGCCACGUGGGGUGCUGUGGGCUAGAAAGGCUUUGCAACUGAGCAGAUGAUCAGAUUAUUUCAUGCCAUCCAUUCAUUCUCUGCCUGCCUCUCCCUGACCCCAGUGCAGUACUGGGGUCUUAGACAACCUUUCAUCCUGGUGCAACUCUAGCUCGCCAUUAAAGAUAGGUAAAGGCCAUCACAGCAGAGGUGACAUGAUUCUUUUUGUACUACACAGGCCCUUGUCAAAAGAGAAUCUCAACGAACAUUUAAAUAUGAAGCAUUAAACCAUUUGAGAUAAAGGACAGAGUGCUUGGCUGAGUCAGGGUUGCAGCCAGAGGAGGAAGUUCCCAUUGUGGCUCAUUGGGUUAAGAACCAGAGCAGUAUCCAUGAGGAUGUAGGUUUGAUUCCUGGCCUCACUCAGUAAGUUAAGGAUCGGGCAUUGCCGAGAGGUGUGGCUUAGGUCACAGAUGUGGUUUGGACCUGGUGUUGCCGUGGCUGUGGUAUAGGCCAGCAAAGAGGAAGACAGGAAGAAGUAGCCCAAGAGGUUCGCGGUACCCAAAGAAAGGACAAAAGGGUGAUGUGGCUCGGCGGAAGACGAAACAGAAACCGCAUCUCAGGAGUUAAAGGAAACAACGUUGUAUUCCUUGAUGGCCCCUUCCUUGCAGGUCUUGUGUUAGGAGGAUCUUGUUUUCCCAGGAGAGCACCAUAUUUGUUUCCUAACAGGUACAGCCUGAUUCCAUCAACUACAAGGGACGUUCAUGGGUGCUCAGACAGUUCCGCUGCCACUAGAUGGGGGUAUUUUGCUGAACUGGGUGGGCGACAUGUAGAAAAAUGGGUCUAUUUUGAGAUAUUGUGCAGUCACCAUUUCAGCGUGCCCAGGAGUAACAAAGACGAGAAGGCAGAGGGUUUGUCAUCGAGCAACUGCUUACACUGACAGAUCCAAGAACAGAGAGGGUGUAAAGGAAGGAUGCUGGCUGGUGCAAGAGGCAUAAACAACUCACCCUGGGCUCUUGUAGGUACCAGGAAAUGGCAAGGUUGAGGCCACUCUUCAGUGUCCCAACCACGGCUUCUCUGGUCCACACACCAGUCACUGUGUUUCACCAUUAGAGAAGCCAAGGACCA
rnacentral:lncRNA from 1 species